rnacentral:rRNA from 1 species
AUUGAACGCUGGCGGCAGGCCUAACACAUGCAAGUCGAACGAGUGGCGGACGGGUGAGUAAUGUCUGGGAAACUGCCUGAUGGAGGGGGAUAACUACUGGAAACGGUAGCUAAUACCGCAUACCAUCAGAUGUGCCCAGAUGGGAUUAGCUAGUUGGUGGGGUAACGGCUCACCAAGGCGACGCUCCCUAGCUGGUCUGCGAGGAUGACCAGCAAAACUGGAACGGAGACGCGGUCCCUACUCCUACGGGAGGAAGCAGUGGGGAAUAUUGAACAAUGGGGGCAAGCCUGAUGCAGCCAUGCCGCGUGUAGGAAGAAGGCUGUCGGGUUGUAAAGUACGUUCAGCGGGGAGGCGUUACCCACAGAAGAAGCACCGGCUAACUCCGUGCCAGCAGCCGCGGUAAUAC